UUCCCCUUUUUUCCGCGCCGCUGUCGUACGUUUUACCCUUUGUUCUUUCUUAAAUUUCUGCUUAGCUAUGCUUCCUCCUUGGAUUAAUAUUUGCCUCUGUCUUCUCUUGCUUUGGGUUAUCAGCAUGAUCAAUGAUUUUAGCCACCUUGUCUGCCGUUGAUUCUCCUAACAAGAUUGUGUUCUCAGGUUCCAUGGGUUUGAAGUGUUGCUACUUUUUCUGAAUCUUGGCUAAUCAUAGAUAACCUUCUCAUUUUGGUGUGUUUAUCCUUAUUUACUAUUUGCAUCUUCUGACUUGCUUUUCUGCUUUCUGAUUUGUGUUUUCCCGUAGGUAGUUUGUGACAAGGUACAUGGGAAGCUUUGCACCACUAUCCUUCGUUGAUGAUAAAGUACAUUUCCUCCAGGUUCAAUAAUUUUAUCUUGCCACCAGAUGCUCUCAUUAGGUCGAGUCCUUUUUUGCUGGUUGUUAGAGUAUAGGCUAAUUUAGAAAAUUAUAGUUCAAAUAAUAUAGAAAUUUACUAUCAAAGAGUUAAUAUUGUUGAGUUGUUUUUCUGCAAUCUUGUUCUCAUCUAUCAAGUACAAGUAUAUUACAAUCUUAUUUUUUCUUUUAACCGUGUUGUCUGGUCCUUUCUUCUUUACAUUUGUGUUAAUUCUCUGUAUAUAGUGAAUCUUGUCCGUUAUUCUAGGUUUUGUCUAAUGGAAGAUAUCUUAAACACUGGAGUGUUCACCUCUUAAAUACAUAGAAGGGGUGGUCAUUAACCUAGUAUUUAAGAUAUCUUCUGCUAGGUGAGAAUCAUACAAAGGGUAAGAUCCACUAUAUCAGAGAACACAACUAUAAGAAAGAAGGGACCAGACAACAGAAUUAAAAGA